rnacentral:rRNA from 1 species
GCGGCGGACGGGUGAGUAACACGUGGGUAACCUGCCUGUAAGACUGGGAUAACUCCGGGAAACCGGAGCUAAUACCGGAUAGUUCCUUGAACCGCAUGGUUCAAGGAUGAAAGACGGUUUCGGCUGUCACUUACAGAUGGGCCCGCGGCGCAUUAACUAGUUGGUGGGGUAAUGGCUCACCAAGGCGACCAUGCGUAUCCGACCUGAGAGGGUGAUCGGCCACACUGGGACUGAGACACGGCCCAGACUCCUACGGGAGGCAGCAGUAUGGAAUCUUCCGCAAUGGACGAAAGUCUGACGGAGCAACGCCCCGUGAGUGAUGAAGGUUUUCGGAUCGU